rnacentral:lncRNA from 1 species
CAGCCUCCUGUUCCUUUCCUCAUUCCAUAGUGGGUCUGGCUCAGGGAGAGAAAACAGUGAAGGCCCAGACAAACCCUGACCAGUCCUACAAGUCUCAACCACUCUUUUGUCUGUCAGGUGGUAGAUGUCUCAUCAGGGGACUCCCCGGACAGACAAAGCACAGGCUGAGAGGCCUGGCUUCUUGCCCCACCCCAGCUCAGCUCCUGGGCCAUCUGCUGUGUUGCUGUGCACCCAGUUUCCAGCACAAUUCUGACCUCAGCAAAUUCUGUGUAAAUGGAAGUUUUAUUUAGAUCAAGGAGAAUGUCUGGG